ACUUAUAUUCUGUAGCAAGGUUAACCGUAUAGGGGAGCCGUAGGGAAACCGAGUCUUAACCGGGCGUUAAGUUGCAGGGUAUAGACCCGAAACCCGGUGAUCUAGCCAUGGGCAGGUUGAAGGUUGGGUAACACUAACUGGAGGACCGAACCGACUAAUGUUGAAAAAUUAGCGGAUGACCUGUGGCUGGGGGUGAAAGGCCAAUCAAACCGGGAGAUAGCUGGUUCUCCCCGAAAGCUAUUUAGGUAGCGCCUCGUGAAUUCAUCUCCGGGGGUAGAGCACUGUUUCGGCUAGGGGGCCAUCCCGGCUUACCAACCCGAUGCAAACUGCGAAUACCGGAGAAUGUUAUCACGGGAGACACACGGCGGGUGCUAACGUCCGUCGUGAAGAGGGAAACAACCCAGACCGCCAGCUAAGGUCCCAAAGUCAUGGUUAAGUGGGAAACGAUGUGGGAAGGCCCAGACAGCCAGGAUGUUGGCUUAGAAGCAGCCAUCAUUUAAAGAAAGCGUAAUAGCUCACUGGUCGAGUCGGCCUGCGCGGAAGAUGUAACGGGGCUAAACCAUGCACCGAAGCUGCGGCAGCGAACGUAUCACCCAAGACAACUUUACGGAGUUGACGAUUGACGGAGCGAAGCGACGUCAAAGCGUUCAUUAAAGUCGAGUUGGCUUAGGGAUACGUUCGUUGGGUAGGGGAGCGUUCUGUAAGCCUGUGAAGGUGUGUCGUGAGGCAUGCUGGAGGUAUCAGAAGUGCGAAUGCUGACAUAAGUAACGAUAAAGCGGGUGAAAAGCCCGCUCGCCGGAAGACCAAGGGUUCCUGUCCAACGUUAAUCGGGGCAGGGUGAGUCGACCCCUAAGGCGAGGCCGAAAGGCGUAGUCGAUGGGAAACGGGUUAAUAUUCCCGUACUUGGUGUUACUGCGAAGGGGGGACGGAGAAGGCUAUGUUGGCCGGGCGACGGUUGUCCCGGUUUAAGCGUGUAGGUGUGUGUUCCAGGUAAAUCCGGUUCACUUUAACACUGAGGCGUGACGACGAGGCACUACGGUGCUGAAGCAACAAAUGCCCUGCUUCCAGGAAAAGCCUCUAAGCAUCAGGUAACAC
rnacentral:rRNA from 1 species